rnacentral:lncRNA from 1 species
GGUUUCUGGAGUUGGCUGCUUAAUAUGACUAUGCUAAAGACCCUAUUUCUUUUUUUUCUUUUUCUUUUCUUUUUUUUUAGAUGGAGUCUUGCUCUGUCACCCAGACUGGGUACAGUGGCACGAUCUCGGCUCACUACAAACUCCACCUCCUGGGUUCAAGAGAUUCUCCUACCUCAGCCUCCCGAGUAGCUGGGACUACAGGCUCAACACUGCCAAGGAACAUAAUGGAAGCUGCCAAGGCUUAGGGCUUCCAUCCUCUGAACCCACAGCCUGGGCUGUACGUUGGCUCCUUUCAACAACUACUGGAGCAGCUGGGACACAGGACACCAAGUCCCUAGGUUGCACACAGCAUGGGGACCCUGGACCCAUCCACAAAACCACUUUUUUAUCCUGGGCCUCCACACCUGUGAUGGGAGGGGCUGCCAUGAAGUUCUCUGAUAUGGCCUGGAGACAUUUUCCCCAUGGUCUUGGGAAUUAACAUUAGGCUCCUUGCUGCUUAUGCAAAUUUCUGCAGCGAGCUUGAAUUUCUCCCCCAGAAAAUGGAUUUUUCUUUUCUAUCACAUAGUCAGGCUGCAAAUUUUCCAAACUUUUAUGCUCUGCUUCCC